UGAACGCUAGCUACAGGCUUAACACAUGCAAGUCGAGGGGCAUCAGGAAGAAAGCUUGCUUUCUUUGCUGGCGACCGGCGCACGGGUGAGUAACACGUAUCCAACCUGCCCUUUACUCGGGGAUAGCCUUUCGAAAGAAAGAUUAAUACCCGAUGGCAUAAUGAUUCCGCAUGGUUUCAUUAUUAAAGGAUUCCGGUAAAGGAUGGGGAUGCGUUCCAUUAGGUUGUUGGUGAGGUAACGGCUCACCAAGCCUUCGAUGGAUAGGGGUUCUGAGAGGAAGGUCCCCCACAUUGGAACUGAGACACGGUCCAAACUCCUACGGGAGGCAGCAGUGAGGAAUAUUGGUCAAUGGGCGCUAGCCUGAACCAGCCAAGUAGCGUGAAGGAUGAAGGCUCUAUGGGUCGUAAACUUCUUUUAUAUAAGAAUAAAGUGCAGUAUGUAUACUGUUUUGUAUGUAUUAUAUGAAUAAGGAUCGGCUAACUCCGUGCCAGCAGCCGCGGUAAUACGGAGGAUCCGAGCGUUAUCCGGAUUUAUUGGGUUUAAAGGGAGCGUAGGUGGACUGGUAAGUCAGUUGUGAAAGUUUGCGGCUCAACCGUAAAAUUGCAGUUGAUACUGUCAGUCUUGAGUACAGUAGAGGUGGGCGGAAUUCGUGGUGUAGCGGUGAAAUGCUUAGAUAUCACGAAGAACUCCGAUUGCGAAGGCAGCUCACUGGACUGCAACUGACACUGAUGCUCGAAAGUGUGGGUAUCAAACAGGAUUAGAUACCCUGGUAGUCCACACAGUAAACGAUGAAUACUCGCUGUUUGCGAUAUACAGUAAGCGGCCAAGCGAAAGCAUUAAGUAUUCCACCUGGGGAGUACGCCGGCAACGGUGAAACUCAAAGGAAUUGACGGGGGCCCGCACAAGCGGAGGAACAUGUGGUUUAAUUCGAUGAUACGCGAGGAACCUUACCCGGGCUUAAAUUGCAGUGGAAUGAUGUGGAAACAUGUCAGUGAGCAAUCACCGCUGUGAAGGUGCUGCAUGGUUGUCGUCAGCUCGUGCCGUGAGGUGUCGGCUUAAGUGCCAUAACGAGCGCAACCCUUAUCUUUAGUUACUAACAGGUCAUGCUGAGGACUCUAGAGAGACUGCCGUCGUAAGAUGUGAGGAAGGUGGGGAUGACGUCAAAUCAGCACGGCCCUUACGUCCGGGGCUACACACGUGUUACAAUGGGGGGUACAGAAGGCAGCUAGCGGGUGACCGUAUGCUAAUCCCAAAAGCCUCUCUCAGUUCGGAUCGAAGUCUGCAACCCGACUUCGUGAAGCUGGAUUCGCUAGUAAUCGCGCAUCAGCCACGGCGCGGUGAAUACGUUCCCGGGCCUUGUACACACCGCCCGUCAAGCCAUGGGAGCCGGGGGUACCUGAAGUACGUAACCGCAAGGAUCGUCCUAGGGUAAAACUGGUGACUGGGGCUA
rnacentral:rRNA from 1 species